UAUCCGGCACAUAUGACUUUGUUUACACGCGGAUACUUUUGUUGCUUUGAAUUGGACAUCACGUACAUACGUGGAAAUUGUGUGUGAACAAUUUUUGCCCUUUGCAGUUUCAGUGGUAAGAAAAAAACAAAACAAAGUGCACUAUAACUUUAUGCAGUUCGGCGCCAUGAUCUUUCUUCAAAACGCCUACUUUAAACAGUAAACAGUGUUUAUUAUGAAAUGAAAUGAACAGAAAUGAAAGAGACUUUAUUAUAUAAAUACCAAAUAUAAAAAUUAUUCUCAAAAAUUAUUGCAUUUAUUAUAACAGUUGGGAAGCCUUAGGAUAUUUUUCAUUUGCUUCCGGUGGCAGCCAGCUCGGACAUGCCAGAAACUGUAUUACCGACAUUCCAUACUUCUGCAUCGGCUUUAUCUACGUGACAUCAAUUUAUUAAUUGAACGAAAAUGAAAUUUAAUAUUCAAACAUAAUACCGACUAACUUAAAAUGUACUGUAAAACAAAACGAGAAACCCAGGAGCUAUCAAUUUCUGUGUCUUGUGUAAAGGCAGCAAGGUCGUCAGGACUUAUCAUAUCAAUUGGACGGAGCUAAAAGAAAACCAAAUUUGCAAUCUUUUGCAGUGAUAAAACUGAGCGCAAACGUUGUUUCGGCUCCACUUCUAACAAACGCUUGAUAACAUCACUAGCUUCGUGUGGAAGUUCAUCGAUUUCAGGUGGUAAGAAUGUUUGCAAAUGGUUGCUGUAGGUGCUGUGGCUCGAUCGACACUAUCCCUUUUGGUGUAAGCUGCGGGCAGUGCAAUUUGCAAGAAUGUGCGUAUGUCG